UGGCCAGUAGCUCAAUGGUAGAGCAUUCGGCUGUCAUCCGAAGGGUUGCAGGUUCGAGUCCUGCCCGGGGAGCCA
rnacentral:tRNA from 1 species